AGAUUUUGAUGCGCUCCAUUUACUUCGGAGUUGCUUGUUUGGUUUCUCUAAAGUGGCGUUGCUUGACAUUUCAGUUCGAUUCAUGGAGUUCUUAACCAAGUAUUUGAAUACACAAGUUGGGUUUAGCUUACUCUAAAGGUCCAACUUUGCUUCAGAACGGUAAUUGAUUAAUUUAAGUGUUUGCAUUUAUUUUUUUGGUUAUAAAUUGGUAAUUAUGAUUCUGUAGUUUCUGGGAUUCUACAAUUUUUACAUAAGAUUCUAAAUUGGGAAUGUUAGAAUGUUGUACAUAAACAAAUGAGCUUUAUAAUCACAGUCAAAUGGUAGAGCGUGCAGUAAAAAAUGACAUCACCGAUAACUUUGCCGCCAUAUCCAGUGGCUUCAGCAGAAAAGCCAUAGCAUUCUGCUCCUCUAUUGUAUGAAGUUUGUUGAGACACAAAUUCUCGCAUACUUUGAACAAGUAUGUUUAAAGUACUCCCACCUUAUAGAAGCAUUAGAAAACUUUUCCACGAAGAUUAGGCAUAUAUUUUAAAUUUCUUUCUGUUUUUGUUGUGGCAAUUAAUUUUAGAGAUAAGCCUAUCAAUCAUUUAUUGUGUUUGCUCUUGGAUCUCCAGUCUCUUUUAUCUUUCGUAAACCAACUCUUUUUUUGUGCUUCCGGUAAUGAAUACACCUUACAUGCAUCAAAUAUAAAACAUAUUGUCAAUUUUUUACCAAUGCGAUAACUUUUUACAUAUGGUAUGAGCCUUUUAGCUUUUUUGUUAUGUCAUUAGACAAAAAAUAUUAGUAAUCAAUCCUCAAUUGGAGUUAUUCGACUUAUCUUGAAUUAUGUGUGAGUUUAGGAUGUACCAAUUUCAGGUGCAACAAGCAUUAGUUGCUGGCGUUCUUUUCCUUUUUUUAUAUAAAAAGUAGCUAAAAAGUGUUGAAUGGCAAAGGUUUAGUUGAGCAUGUUAUAUCUAACUUUAUUUUGCUUAUCUGAUGAUAUAUAUUUGAUCAACAAGACUUCUAGACAUAUGGUUCAGUUUUUACCUUCUUUAUUGGUUGUAGCAUUUUUGUGAAUUCCUUUUUUGAACAAAAGAUAAGGGCAUGAGGCCACUUCUUUUCAAUUAAUUUUGUGUUAGUUAAACUAAAUGUGAACAGUAAUCCUAAGUUUGAGUUGUUGGAUAAUUUUUUGAUUUGGCUUACAUGUAAGUUCUUUUAGGAGAGAGUUAUUUUGGUGAAGUGACGUUUAAACAAACAAUUGAGGUUAUUUAAAGAAGGGGCAAAAUUUGGGGUUCCAAAUGGAUUCUUUAAAAGCUAUAUUGCAAGAUACUAAGGCUGACAUUUCAUUAUUCAAUGCGAUAACUUUUAAUGCAAGGAUAUGUGUUUCUUUCAAUCUUCGGAUGUUUGAAUGCUUUCACGUGAUAUUUUUUAUAAUCUUGAGUGUUUGAGUUAAUAAUAUAAAUAUGUGAGAUAAUAAAGCCAAUGUGUUAAUUAGUUAAGCUCAUUUUGUAACAAUGACGUGAGGUGACUUAUGUAAAAUUUAAUAUGAAUGUUGUUAUGUUUUAGGCACACUAAUAGAUCAACUAAUUGAUAACAUCGCACGUCAAGUUGCUUGAGAUUCUAUGGAUUGCUUGGGAGAAGAGCAUCAAGAUUAGAAUUACACAGGAACUUAUGCUACUUACCCAAAAAAAAUAUAUAUCACACAAUGCUAUUUUCGAGCCAAUUUGGUAUUAGUAUUUAAACAGUUUGUUUCUCUUGUUUUGCAUUCCUAUAUUGUACUAGCACUCUACUCUAAUCUUAUUCUUCUUUUGAUGGUUUGAAUGGAUUUUACCAGUCUUCAAUUAUGAUCGAAGCAGUUCCCUGUUCAAGAUGAUAUUUAGUUUUUCACCAUUUUGUAAUAGCGGUCUUUUUUGUAAAGGAACUUCCCUGCUUGGUUUCUGGGUGGAAAAGGUUAUAUGCUUAAACACGAUUACAUAAGGAAGAGGACUUUAAGCCUAGCUUUCCUCAAACAAUAUACAGCCACCCAAUUCUUAUAAAUCUAAGAUCAUGAAGGACUUCAUUUACAUUAGCUCUGUACAACCUUAUCAUUCCUAAAUUAGACAUGUAUUCUUGUUUGUUUUCAAAAUUGGUAUAUCCUUUUUGUUGUUUACGCCCUGGAAGAUGAGAAUUGCAAGUAAUUUAUCCAUCCUUAACUAUCCUUUAGCCUAUUCAGGUAGCUCCCUCCAGCUAUGUAUAAAUACCUCAUUUAGUACUGGUUCUCAGGGAGGUAGGAAGUUGACAAACUUUUCUUUCUUUUAUAUUCAUUAAUCUCAGGAGCACAGUGGCCAUGGUAAAAGAAAUUCAAAUGGCCAAUUGAAAUCAUA